UGGCUCUCCAUUCGAGGGUAA
rnacentral:piRNA from 1 species